UACGUAGGGUGCAAGCGUUGUCCGGAAUUAUUGGGCGUAAAGAGCUCGUAGGCGGUUCGUCGCGUCGGCUGUGAAAUCCCGAGGCUCAACCUCGGGUCUGCAGUCGAUACGGGCGGACUGGAGUUCGGCAGGGGAGACUGGAAUUCCUGGUGUAGCGGUGAAAUGCGCAGAGAUCAGGAGGAACACCGGUGGCGAAGGCGGGUCUCUGGGCCGAUACUGACGCUGAGGAGCGAAAGCGUGGGGAGCGAACAGG
rnacentral:rRNA from 1 species